rnacentral:rRNA from 1 species
AUUGAACGCUGGCGGCAGGCUUAACACAUGCAAGUCGAGCGAGCGGCGCACAGGUGUGUAAUGUAUGGGGACCGUCCGCUAGAGGGGGAUAUCUAUUGGAAAAGGUAGCUAAUAUCGCACACUAUCUGAUAACCCCUAUGGGAUUAGCUAGUGGGUGAGGUAAUGGCUCACCGAGGCGACGAUCCCUAGCUGGUCUGAGAGGAUGAUCAGCCACACUGGGACUGAGACACGGCCCAGACUCCUACGGAGGCAGCAGUGGGGAAUAUUGCACAAUGGGCGCAAGCCUGAUGCAGCCAUGCCGCGUGUAUGAAGAAGGCCCUAGGGUUGUAAAGUACUUUCAGUAGGGAGGCGUUACCGACAGAAGAAGCACCGGCUAACUCCGUGCCAGCAGCCGCGGUAAUAC